AGGAAGCACGGCGGCGAUCGCACAAAGGAGCGGGGCCUCUGGCUUCAGCAGGCGGCGAGGACCGACAUCCCCUCCUCGGGAGGCGGGCGGCGACGUUACACAGGCCUUGAUUAGGGGAUAAGUUGGCGCGACGCCCGCCCGGUGUUGUGCAACGGCCGCCGCCGCCUCAGGCUGAGAAAGAUCGGAGAACCAUUGGAGAAAGUUGGUUGAAGACGUUGGCACCUUACCCAAAGGAGGAGUUAGCCCAGGCCAAAAGAAAUAAAUGAGUGCAGAUUGACUCUCUCGCGUUACGGAAAUUCGCCCUUACUGAAUUCACAAAGCACUAUCCAAAAAAAAAUUGAAAUACGGAAUAAAAUCAGCUCUCACCGAAUUUUUGUUGGGGGGGGGGAGUAAAU